AUUAGCUACAGUGGCCUCCUGGGAUCACCAUUUGCAAUAUAAGCCCAGUGACUUAAAGGAGAGAGUGGAGAGGAAUCAUGGUAAGGCUUGUAACUCCAAGGAUGAAGAACAACCAGGGCUUGGGGAUGGGUGAAGAAUCUUCUGAAGAAGUGACCUGGCUACUCUUAUAAAGUGUCAGGUGUCAUGGGUUCAGCCAUCUCACACUAUUUAAAGUGGGGGACCCGUCCUUCACUGAUGGAGUGGACAGGUGAUCAGAGAACCAUCCCACCAAGAGAAAGACCCUCUUGAGGCCCUCCAUCUCUGCAUGUCAGGUUCACAGCUGUGAGACAGAGCAUAGAACCUGUGUCAGGUCACAGGAGAGUGAUCCCCCAACACUUUGGGCCAUGUUCCAACCCUGCCUGCCCCAAUUCCCAUUGUGUAAAAUCCAUCUGCAACCUAUGCCAGCCUUCCAGAAUGCAGAGGGACCCUGGGAAGAGCUGGAGAAGAGAAGAGGAAGAAGGAUGGGAGACGGAAGAUUCUCAGUUGGAAAAAAAAACAGCAGCAAGAAACUUUGUUUACCUUGUUGGUCAGAUUAAAUUUCUGCCACCAAAAGAAAUCGAGAUUGAAAAGCUAAGUUUAAUUAUGGAGAAAAUAAAGUUACAUUUUUUUUUGCACAACAAA